GGAAACAAAAUGUUAGAAAGCGGGAGAUGUAAUGUACCAAAUAGCUGGAAAUUCACUUUGCUAUUAUGCUGGAAGCAAUCUAGAUCUAUUUGGCCUCCAGGAUGCAUGACCUGAGGGAUGAUAUUUUCCGUCUGAAGCCAUCCAUUGACUUUCCAAUACACUCAGUAAAACACACAAUGAAGGAUGUUUUUUUUUUACAUCAAAAUACACUUACUUCUCCUCCUAUGAUACAUCUAACAACUCUGACAUCAAAAUUAUGAAAGAUUAUUUCUGCUUUUUGUACCUAAAUUAACAAACCAGGGCAAUUUUCCAACUACAUUUUACUUUUGUCAAGCCACAUUGGGCAGGUCACACACAUUCUAGCAAUAAAAAAAUAAAACAAAAGCUUCACAAAUCCUAUUAGGCGCAGAUUAAGAAGUCGCUGCUGGGAAUAGAAACUAAAUGCAGGGAUUAGAGAAGAAGGCAUAACAACGCCUCCUCACUGCCCCCCAACCUGUCAACUCCCCUCUGACUGGAACCCCAGGACUCAGCUAAUGCCUUGAAUGCAUUGAGUGUGUGUGCAAAUCAGUUUAUGGUUGUGUCCUUCCUUAACAUCUUGACAGUCAUGUCAAAUAAAACAACCAAACUACCAAUCCCAAUACCAAUUUUGACAAAUUUCAGCCUUUAUAGUCCCCUUGUAGACUCUGGGUCAAGUUGAAAGGAAAAUUGAUUGACUAAAUAAUACUGACGAUAAAAAAUAUAAAAAAUUAAAUAGGUGAAAAGUAAAGGAGAGCCUACAACAGUGGACUUAUUGAGAUGUGGUACUGCUAACAAGUUACAGUAAUAAUCAAUCAAUAAUCAAUAAUAAUAAUGACAAUAACAUCACUACCACUACUACUACUACUACUACUAAAAAAUGAUUAUUAUUAUUAUUGUUAUUGUUGUUGUUGUUGUUGUUGUUAUUAUUAUAAAUUGAAUUCAUAUAGCAGAGAGAACCCAAUGUUAAUUUACAAAGAAAAGUCUCAAACUAAUUAUCAUCAUCAUCAUCAUCAUCAUCAUCAUCAUCAUCAUCGUAACACAAAGAGCGGUAAGGUUUCUAUUCAGGGUUAAUGACCUAAAAAGUCACAGCAUGGAAGCAAGUCUAUAAAAACCCAUCUAUGGGAGUGGACCAGGGUGUGGGCUGGAGGGGGCGCAAAACCAGUGAGGUCACAAGAGUCUGGAUGCGGCAAAUCAAGGUCAACCCCCCCCCCCCCUUUACUGUCAGUCGGAUGAGGGUCAGAUCAGUGUCUACACUAAUCGCACCUCAAUGGAUCAAACAAUCCCCUGACCUACUAUGAUACAACCUACUGUGCUCAUUCUUUGACACACAAACACAAACUCACGAAAAUAACCAUGAAACAAAACAUGCAAACUGACCUUUUACACCCUUUACCUUCACCACUGUAAGUCUUUCACACAUACACUGCUCAUGAAACUCACAUUCAAAUCCACCCACUCAGCAUGUAACCAAAAACUGUAUCAGUUUUCAGCACACAGAACAGGAUGGUUCAGGACUGACAGUCAUGCUAUCCUAAGUGAUGUAAAAAUACCUUCCCCUAGACCAGAGAAAACCCAAAUCAAGAACAGAAGAGAACCUGAAACCACAAGGGUACACUGUAAAGCCAAAAAAGCAGAAAAGAAGCCUUGAGUCCUGUAUUUUUUUUAAACAAGCUCCUUCUGGAGACAUCAGAUGUUAGCCCCAAAGCGACUGCAACGUAACAAUGCAGCUCAUACCAGACACAGACAGGCAAGCAGUCAGACAGAUGUGCCACAUAAAGGGGGGCAUAAAAGAGGUUCACUGAAAGGAAAUCCCCUCAAGGCCUAAUCCACGACAACAUUAAUAUAAUGAAAGAUUUAAAACCUGUCACAUAUCCUUCAUACGGUGAUAAGCCUUUGAAAUUUGCUCCCCUGACACUUGAAAGCCAAACACAAGAAUGGCGGAAAAAUACAAACAACUGUAGGUCUCUCUUUUUCGCAAUACUUUGCAAUAUAGCAGGGUCGUGUGAACUUUGUGAAAACUGAAAUGACAGACAAUGAUAGCAUGGUCUUAAAUGUUAUGAAAUGUGCUCAAGCUGGGUAAGCUGGGGCCAAGGCAACAUGCUUUUUUUUUAAUAAAUGGAAAAGCAGUAAGUAGCCAUAUGUACCCUAAGUGCGACUGUACAAAGGGAAAGUGCUUCUGAAAGAGGGGACAGUGAAAGUGGGACAAUGGGGAAUGCCUCAAGGCUAAAUCCCAGCUUCUGACCAGGCAGACACACAUCAGGCUAUCGCUCACA